rnacentral:rRNA from 1 species
CAGUCGCCACGGGAAUACAGAGGGUGCGAGCGUUAAUCGGAUUUACUGGGCGUAAAGCGUGCGUAGGCGGCUUUUUAAGUCGGAUGUGAAAUCCCUGAGCUUAACUUAGGAAUUGCAUUCGAUACUGGGAAGCUAGAGUAUGGGAGAGGAUGGUAGAAUUCCAGGUGUAGCGGUGAAAUGCGUAGAGAUCUGGAGGAAUACCGAUGGCGAAGGCAGCCAUCUGGCCUAAUACUGACGCUGAGGUACGAAAGCAUGGGGAGCAAACAGGAUUAGAUACCCGUGUAGUCCCUGUCUCUUAUAA